UUACCGAUAAUGACGUCAUUGCUGUAAUUCGAUCAGCUAUGGCAUUGUUCUUGGUGACA
rnacentral:pre_miRNA from 1 species